AAACUUCCUUAGAACAUUCUGCUUGGCCCACGAGCCUUUUCAAGUUUGGCACCUCAGCUGUUGCUGAUGCUUUCUCUGCAAAAUUGGUCUCAGGUAUGGAAUUUGAAGUUCCUCAGCUAAGUGAGCCACACCCAUUUCAGUCAUGUGAUAAAAUAAUUCCAUGACAACAAUAUGAUCAAAUGGGAUGUAAACUAAUCAGCAAAUUCUUGUGCUCCUCGCCCCAGCUUGUUUCACAGAUGGGCAAAAAAUUGUCCAGUUAUGCAAAAGGUCAUCAAUACAGCUGAUUGAAUUUAAGUCCCAAAGUAAGCCUUGAUCAUUACAUAGACCAACCAAACCUGUAAUAGAAGCAGCACCAGUUUACCUUGCUUGAUAAUAUUUCAAGACAACAUUUUGAUUACCGGUAAUUUUAAGAAACAUACAUUCAUAUAUGACAGACUAGCCAAAACUACUUUAACAUUUCUUAAUCACCAACCAAAAAUACACCGAUUCUCGUUCAAGAAAAAGACCCUAUAUAAACUCCAUCCACACUAGAGACUCGGACAAACCUUUGAUCGAGAAUUUGCAUAAAACAACUCAAUACUCCACUCCAGAACCCAAUAUUUGAUCGAGAAUUUGCCAAGCGGCGCGAACUUGGAAGGGGAAAAGUAAUGCUGCUCUUCAAGAAUGAACUGGUCUCUCUACAUGUUUUAGGUAUGAAAAUGUACAUGGCUGUGUCUCUUCUGCUUUUAGAUUCAUGCUUAAAUAGAUCAAGUUUGAGAUAAUAAGACCAAAGCGAUUGCAAAAUGCCUACAUAUGAAUUUUCCGACGUAACCAGCCUAGAGAGAUCAUUUUACACUAAUGAACGCCUGUAUUUUGUGUUCUAAAUUCUUCCAAAUGAGAAACUACUGUCUUCUUGAAAGCAUUUUCUUUGAAACUCUUGUCUGCAAUUGAC
rnacentral:lncRNA from 1 species